rnacentral:rRNA from 1 species
AGCAGCCGCGGUAAUUCCAGCUCCAAUAGCGUAUAUUAAAGUUGUUGCAGUUAAAAAGCUCGUAGUUGAAUUUCGGGGUUAGUAGGUUGGUCAUGCCUCUGGUAUGUACUGGUCUCACUGAUUCCUCCUUCCUUAUGAACCGUAAUGCCAUUAAUUUGGUGUUGCGGGGAAUUUGGACUGUUACUUUGAAAAAAUUAGAGUGUUUAAAGCAAGCUAACGCUUGAAUACAUUAGCAUGGAAUAAUGAAAUAGGACGUUCGAUCUUAUUUUGUUGGUUUCUAGGAUUGACGUAAUGAUUAAUAGGGAUAGUUGGGGGCAUUAGUAUUCAAUUGUCAGAGGUGAAAUUCUUGGAUUUAUUGAAGACUAACUACUGCGAAAGCAUUUGCCAAGGAUGUUUUCAUUAAUCAAGAACGAAAGUUAGGGGAUCGAAGACGAUCAGAUACCGUCGUAGUCUUAACCAUAAACUAUGCCGACUAGGGAUCGGAUGAUGUUAAUUUUUAAUGUACUCAUUCGGCGCCUUA